CCUUGGUGCGUGAGACGGGUAUGGAGGUCGGAGGCGUGGCGGCACUGAGCUAGGUUAACCAGCGGCAGAGAUGUGAGAAACGAUGCCUGUCCCUGAUGACACUGCCUUGGUGACUCGCAGAAUAACAUAUUACGGCAGCAGCGUACCGUGACCCUGCACGGAUGGUUCCUCCGUCCCUCGGCUGACCCCGCGGCGUCCUCCGCGUCCGUCUCAGUCCCCCAUGGGCCUCCUUCCUGUCCCGGGUGCGUUUGAGCAGCACUGCCCUGGGCCUUUUCCGUUGGAAUCCAGAUGGAGGGAAAUGGACCAACUCUUCUCUCUGCCCAGAAGUCCCAGGCCGCCAUCAGUGCUGGCCUGCUCUGCUCCAGAAGUGGUGGCCAGAGCGGCCUCGACUGUCUCCGAGAGCAGCUGAGAUCUCGGAGGACAAAGAGCCGGCUGAGCUGACAGCUGUUUCCCGCCACCAAAGCCCCCAGGCUGGCAGCUUCUCCCAUUUCACCCCUUCUAAAGCACUGAGGGUGGGGUUUGUUGGGGGACCCCGUUGACCAGGUGUUCCUCCUCUCGUCUCUCAGCAUUCCCGCAUUGGCGUUCAAGAUCUUCGAGAUUUGUGGGAUAAGAUGCGCCUGUGACUUACGCCAGCUAAAUGCCAGCGAGGGUGACAGGCUUGGGAGAUCGAGAUGUGAUUAAUUCAAACUUCCCGUUCCUCUCAUAUUUCACUCUGUAAAAGUCUGGAGCCUC